rnacentral:rRNA from 1 species
UACGAAGGGUGCAAGCGUUAGCCGGAAUUACUGGGCGUAAAGCGUGCGUAGGUGGUUUCUUAAGUCCGUUGUGAAAGCCCUGGGCUCAGCCUGGGAACUGCAGUGGAUACUGAGAGGCUAGAGUGUGUCAGAGGAUGGUGGAAUUCCCGGUGUAGCGGUGAAAUGCGUAGAGAUCGGGAGGAACAUCAGUGGCGAAGGCGGCCAUCUGGGACAACACUGACGCUGAGGCACGAAAGCGUGGGGAGCAAACAGG